rnacentral:lncRNA from 1 species
UUGUGGCUGCAACUUAUCAUGUUGCAGGAUUUUCAGAUGAUCAGUGAGAUACAGUAGGGUCGCGAGUCUUCACUCAGCAUUUUCGCCAGUGGGCAUUGAUGGGGCUCAUCAUUUGCUUAUGCUACAUUUCCGCUGUUAUUAUUGAAUAAAACUAGUUAUGUACUGUGAGUUUGUAAUACUUUAUGAAUUCUGGAUCACACGUUAUAGUAAAUGAUGCACUUGUUAUUUGAUAUUCAUACGUACUGUGUGUGCUAGCGAGUUGAUCCAGGGACUAGCACGGUAUGCAUAGAGAUAUCGAAUCUUAUCAGGUUCGGGUCGUUACAGAUGGUAUCAGAAUAGUGUGUUGACUGUAGGUCGUGACCCUAGAAAAUGGAUUAGAAAAGCCAUAGGAGUGAAAAACUUACUUUACAACUUUUUCUCUACAUAAUCUUCUACUCAUAUGUUUUCUUUUCGAGUAUAGAUGACCCCUGUAGUUGUAGUAGUCUAGGAGUUUUAGUUGACAGACCACCAUUACUAAGUUGUGUUCGAUAAACGAUUUGCGGUAGUAUGAUGAUAUCACAUCUCUUGUGGAUAUGACCUUACCUGUAGGUUUUGUUUGUGUUGUGUGAUACAUCAUAUGUUUGAUCGGUCAUUGCUUUUCGUGUUGUCAUAUUUCGUGGAUUGUUUGUAUUAUGCAAUUGGGUGCUUUCAUUGUUCAUAUGUGCUCUUUCGAUGUGAUUACUUUAGGAUAGUUUUAGUGACUUGUGUGAAUUGUGUGAAUUUAGUGUUUGUUUUUGUUGUUGUUGGAGUUUUAGUUGCUAGCAUGAGCAUAUGGGUAGUGUUUUCCCCUUAGGUCUUUAUUCUGUCUAUAUCCUAAUACAUGCUGCAACCAAGUGAUGAGUUCAAGUUUUACCACAUGCGCAAGAUCUGACAAGAAGCAAGCACAAUCUUGCUGAAGGAAGAACCCUAGAAGAAGCUAUAGAUAGUAGAUGUUUUAUAGUAGUUGACGUAAACCUAAUAGUUGAGAGGAACGAUAGUUGAGUUUGUUUGGCAUGCAGAACCAAUGGAAUUAUCUAAACCUAGUUCGGGAGCAAGAGAAAUAUUCUGCAAUGCUUGUGAGGAUACCCGAGUGUUAGAGUGCGAGAUUCACUAAACCAUAUACAAGGUAAUGAUUUGGGUGCUAUCGUGGAAUUGUCACGGUAGAUGUCCUUAGUGUGAGGACUUAGUCGUGAGGCCAACACAUCUAUGCGGUAGCUUGAGAGGGGUUGAUCGGGACCGAGAGACGCAACACAAGACAAGAGUUUAGACAGCUUCGGGCCCGGGGAAACAUCAUCUGGUAAUAGCCCUACAUGUUGUUUGUGGCUAGGUCUCAUUAUGCUCAUGAGAGAGUCGCGGGUAAGCCGGCUCUUUGUGUCUAGCCCUAGAGAUUGUUUCUUCUCGCUUGUCCCUCUUGGGGUGCCCUGCCCCUCCUUAUAUAAGCUGGAGGGGUGGGUUACAUAUGGAGUCCUAGUAGGACUUGGACUAUUCUAUAACAAGUGGAAUCCUAGUCUGCCCCCUUAAGGGAAAACUCCUUGUGUAUUUCCUCGUAAACCGGCCCACCAGAGUAUAAGACGGCCUGUUGGGCCUUGGGACUUGUCGUCCUCUGAUCCGCCUACCGGGUCUCCAGUGAGUCACAAUGUCCAAGCGGGUUACAUGUAAACCGCCAUGUCCGGGCGGAUUGCCAGUGAGUCACCAUGCUCCAGCCGGGUCUCUGGUGAGUCGCCAAGUCCGGCCGGAUCAUACUUCUGUCCGGGUCAUACCGCGGGGUAUAUUCCCCACAUUAGCCCCCAGUUUAAUUUGGAUUUAUCCAUGUUAAACUGAUCCUGUAAAAUAAACACAAGAACAAACUUGAUAGGUUAUGCUCCGGGUUAAAUAUUUUCCUGAACCGGCACCUGAUCAUGCUUAAGUCCUUGUCAUUUCCUCCUGGAUGUGUGCUCAAGAUCUUAUAGCAAAUCUCCUUUAACAGAUAUGUUCAAACUUUGCCAAUGCAAAAAAUUCAGGCACUUCUUCUGAAAAAUGCGGGUCAACGGACCAGCUUCAUAACCAAUUUGUUGACAUUGACUCUUGUAGAGAAAUAUCAUAAGAAAUAAUCCAUUUGAGUCGGCUUCCAAAGCACCGGCCUAAAAAUAUAGGUCUUGAAAUACUCAUCUGAUUUUCAACCGACUUAAAGAUGUAGAUCUUGCCGAGUUAUAAUUUCCAAAAUCUCCGGGUUAUAAAGACUGAUGAUGUCGAGUCAUAAUUGUUGUUGACACUGGGUCAUGUAAUUGAUCUUCCUGUUUUGCUCGAAACUGCAAAUUUGAAGAUAUUCCUCCUUUAUAUGCAUAUAAUACUUGUAGCCCCCAAGUUGUAAGAGGAGAACAUAGUGAUAGCUUAUGACUUCCUUCCAUAUAAUUGUUGCACCCUUGAAGAAAUCCGGGUUAUGCAUCUCAAUCAUUAGUCAUAAACUGAAUAUUCCACAUAUGUAGCCCCCAAGUGCCGGGUUGUCAUGCUUGCAGCAACCUAGGACUUGUAAAUUGCCUUAUGCUCAUAAAAUUUCAACCAGUGUAGCCCUCAAGGGCCGGGUCAUUAUGUAAUAAUGAGCAGGGACUUUGUAGAUAUGAUUAUGUAAACUUGAGCAGCAAUGCGUAACCCCCAAGGACCGGCUCAGCAAGAUAAUACUGAGCUGGGGCUUUUUAUAUAUUUCAGUAAAAAUAACAUCAUAUGAUGUAGCCUUCACCGCGGGGCUUGAACCCAUGUCCACAAGGUUAAGAGCCUUAUGCUUUACCAACUGAGCAAUGGACCCUUCAAUAUAAUGGAAUUAACUUGUGUACCUUGAAUUUUUAACAGGAGCAAUUGGUAGCCCCCAAGGGCCGGCUCAUUAAAAUGUGAUGAGUCGGGUCUUGAAUAAGUUGAUCAAAAAAUGACUUUACAUUAGCCCCCAAGUGCGAUGGUGCAUGUUGGCAGUGACAUGGGACUUGCAUAUUUGUUGUAAUCUCAAUUUGAAUAAUGUAGCCCCCAAGUGCCGAGUCGUAAGCCUGCAGCGAUUCGGGACUAUUCCUUCAAUUGAAGAAUAAGUAAUAUCCAUUGAUAAAAUAAUAGCCAUUGCGCUAAAGUGACUUUGAAUACCUUAUCUAUUGACAAGUAAAUCCAAAGUUUAAAUACCUGCCGGCUCUUGGCCGAUAGCGAUUUAAUACGCCUCCAUUAUAAGCCGGAAUUUUAAUAACCCGGCGGCUUAUAACCUUUGAGAAAAUCUAGAAUGAAUAAUCAUUCUGAAGCAUCAAUUUUAAUGAUGAGCUUGGACUUAAGCAUUUAUAUAAGUCAUAGUUCUGCAAAUCCUGCACAGAGUUUAAACAACAUAUGCCCUGGCGACUUAACAUCAAAAGCCAGGGCCGGCUUAAACAUAAUCAUGUAUAAACAAUAUCAUACAUGUGAUAUUGAAUCGUACUACCGGCUUAUGAUACCUGUGCAGUAAGGGUGAUAACCCAAUCCUUAGAAGCCAACACUUUGCAAAUAUAUGAUGAUUGUCAUGUGUUGGCGACUUAUCAUCCAAAAUCAAGCCGGGUUAAAUUUAAACCACACUUACACUUAGAUCUUGGAACAAAAAUGUCUGAAGUCAAAUAAAGGUUGUGUUCAAAUAAAAUUUAAACCAAAUAAGAAGAAACAAUCAAGGCUUCUGAUUCGAAUACGAUCAGUAAACCGUUCCAAAGGGGUUAAGCUAGGAUUCGAAUACGAUCAUGUAGCCCCCAGCGGCUUUGGCGUUGCGCCGAUCAAGAGGGUACCGACAACUAUGUUCUCUUUGGUUCGAAUACGACCUAUGUUUGAACAGGAAGCCCCCUAAUGAUCUUGAGAGUUUUUUAACGACUCUGAUUCGAAUACGAUCAAAGUCGGUUCCCAAAAGGGGUUAAGCAAUGAUUCGAAUACGAUCAAGAAGCCCCCUACUGAGCUCGGCAGUGUGCCGAUCAAGAGGGUACCGACAGCUAUGUUCUCUUUGGUUCGAAUAUGACCUAUGUUUGAACAGGAAGCCCCCUAGUGAUCAUGAGAAUAUUUAACGACUCUGAUUCGAAUACGAUUAGGGUCAGACCAAAAGGGUUAAGCUAAAUUCGAAUACGACCAGCUUCCAAUGGUCAUUAAAGCAGGGUACCUAUGUUUGAGUUGUGCUUUGUAACAGACUCUAUUUGGUCCCUUUAGUUUUUCCUGAGAACUCGAGCUUUGCGAGAGAUAAAUUCUUUUUGAACCGGGCGUUGAGCCGGAUAUUGAAAGCUUCAGAGCUUUGUGGGAGACAAAUUUCCCUUGAGCCGAAUUUUGAACCGGAUAUGUGAGAGCUUCUCUUGAACCGGAUUUUGAACCGGAAUUCUUCAUUUUGAGACGGAAAUUUUCCGACGGCCUUUAAACUGGCAAUAUUUACUGAGCUACGUCCAUGUAGCCCCCGAGUCUCAACGCGGCUCGUGGAGUUGUCUUUGAGAUUCUCCAUAUUUGACCAUAGCAGAAGGUGUAUAUCAUUGGUGUUGAUAGCGCGAUGUGAAUCCAUAGAAUGUUGAGGUGACUGUGGCGGGUUAUAAAUGAUCCGUAUGAGCCAUGUCAGUAACUCGGCCAAUGGUUCCUUCCAACUGGAUGUUUUGAAGUUAAUCAAAUUGUAGUGGCGGCGACUUAUGCGCCUGCCCAUUGAGCCGUCCAGUGCAGACGGUAGCUGGUAAUACAUGAUAAUUUGCCUCCAAUUUGUUGGAAGAAAAACCGAGCUACCCAAGCAGUGACUUGCCCAUACUCAAUAAACAGCUCAUGCAGACAUGUGUGGUCUGCUGUAUUGAUGUACACCAGGCCACGAGAGACGGGCGGUAAAGACGACCGCAACAUCAGAGGCGGCACAGACAGAUGAGCCGGUCAUGGCGUUGUAAGCCGGUGCGGACGGGCAAAUUAUCCUCCUUGUUGUAAGCCAGCGUGGUCGCGAGAGACGGCCACGGCAUUGUAAGCCGGCGUGGGAGUCCGUUGAGUAACGUUGACCACCUAUGCUGAAUGAUGUUUGGCGUGCCUCCAUCUCCGGGUAUAAUAUCACUUUUUGUCAUAAAUAAUUGCCCUGCAUAAAAAUGUUACAAGCCAGAGCAACUGUUCAUAGAUAGAUUACUGUAUAUAGAUGAAAUAAAUAGGAGGUGUAUCACCUGAUAUAUUUUCGGUUGUUGAUAGCAACUCAUCUGAACAUCUCCAGCAGCUACCCUUCCCUGAUAACACCCAUACACGUCACCGCUCCAUCAAAAAACUGCCAACGCACAUGUCCCUGGUGAUUUGCCGGGCGACGGCUCGAAGCAACACCGGCGAAGGUGAAGUAGUGGUGGCCGGCUCAUGGUGCUGCUGUGGACUGCUCGCCGACGAUGGCAGGUGGCGACUUGACGAUGGCGGCUUGACGACGUCGGGUAGAUCGUAUGUAUGUUGAGGCGGCUCCAAUAAAGAGAGGCAGAAAACCGACAGCGGCUCGGCCACGGCCCAGGAGGAAUGGGACCGAGGCGACAAAGGCCGGGGUGGCUCGAGCGCGACCGGCCACAACAAGAGGCGGAGGCGGAUGUUGUGUCCGUGUCUUCCCAUAGUUGACUCCUCCUUUGAACAACCAUGCAUGUAGCCUUUCCAUAUGUUGAUUCCCUUGAAUUGCUCAAGAGAAGUAGUACUUCCAUGGAUGUGUUUUAUUCUAGCAUCUACUGCUUCCGAUUAGUAGUGGCAACGUCAGAUCAGAAAGAAAAAAUAACAGCCAAACUGUGAUAAAAAAUCCACCGCUUCCGCUGAUUCCUGAUGGACGAUUGAUGUGACGUUUCUGCCGCUGUCGCUGCUUAUACUUUGUACCCAGUCUUUCUUUGGAGUCCAUCCAUAUGCAGAGGCAGAGGCGGGGUGUGGCAGAACCAGCGCGGGCGGGUCACGCGCUGCCGGCGAGCGGACGGGUUGAAGAACAACGGCGGCUCGAAGGCGAGGCGAGGCUGUGAAGACGCGCCGGCGAUGUAAGGCCACGACUGUGGCCGAGUCUGAGUUCUCGUUGUUAUCCGGGUCGUAGUAGUAGUUACUUUGUUCAAUCACGUUUGACCAAUCAAGUUUGACCGAUCCGAUUUUUUGCUAGCCAUACAUGCUCGUGUAAAAAUAGUAGUAGUACUCCGUAGAUACAUCCACUUCCGGGUCGUGGUCCUUUUUCCUUCUCUUUCUUAGUAUUUUCCUCUUCUAUUCCAUAGUACUAGCACACACGUGGAUCUCUUCUCUGCAGGGUUUGGUCACCGUUGUUGCCUCACCCGUACACAUAGCAGUGGGUACCAAACUCUGUCGCUUGACGUGACGAGCACUAAUUGAACUAUUAGUACUUGAGCCGAUGUGCUAUUUUACUCGAGCAAAAAAGGCUCUCGCUGACAUGGGGCUUGAUGCCCCUGACGACAGCUGGCUGCCUUUGGUUUUACGGUUGGGGAAAUCUAAGAACAGACACAGCGAUGCGCGGGUGUAGUGGCGUUGUACAAUAGCUUGUAAUAGAAAUCGAUCUCCGUUCGAAAAAAUACUAACGGCAGUGGCACAAACGAAACCAUAAUUUCUCCUGAUCUCAAUCUCUUAUACGCCAGGUUAUCCUGACAACGCCACGCUGGCUCUUCUUCAUCUGUUAAUCGCGAGCUUCUUGACCCCUGGAGAAAUCCCUCCAAGAACUCAACACCACCGUGCGCAGCCCCAUGGUGGGCGCCAACUGUCGUGGAAUUGUCAUGGCAGAUGUCCUUAGUGUGAGGACUUAGUCGUGAGGCCAACGCAUCUAUGCGGUAGCUUGAGAGGGGUUGAUCAGGACCGAGAGACGCAACACAAGACAAGGGUUUAGACAGCUUCGGGCCCAGGGAAACAUCAUCCGGUAAUAGCCUUACAUGCUGUUUGUGGCUAGGUCUCAUUAUGCUCAUGAGAGAAUCGUCGGUAAGCCGACUCUUUGUGUCUAGCCCUAGAGAUUGUUUCUUCUCACUUGUCCCUCUUGGGGUGCCCUGCCCCUCCUUAUAUAAGCUGGAGGGGUGGGAUACAUAUGGAGUCCUAGUAGGACUUGGACUAUUCUAUAACAAGUGGAAUCCUAGUCUGCCCCCUUAAGGGAAAACUCCUUGUGUAUUUCCUUGUAAAUCGGCCGACCAGAGUAUAAGCCGGCCUGCUGGGCCUUGGGCCUUGUCGUCCGUCUGAUCCGCACGUUGGGUCUCUAGUGAGUCACAAUGUCCAAGCGGGUUACAUAUAAACCGCCAUGUCCGUGCGGAUUGCCAGUGAGUCGCCAUGCUCCAGCCGGGUCUCUGGUGAGUCGCCAAGUCCGUUCGGAUCAUACUUCCGGCCGGGUCAUACCGCGGGGUAUAUCCCCGACAGGUGCAGAAUGGAUUGAUCACCAUGUCGACUUACUCUUAAUAUUUGCUUUUGCUAUGUGGGAUGGUAAAUCUGGAGUGACUUACCUAUACUAGAGAGACGAUGUUGUUAAGCCAGAACCUUAGAAUGGUAUGUCAUUUGACCUUUGUAACAGGCAACCGUUGCCAACAGUAGGAUUUAUGGUGAGAAUGAACCAAAACCCAUUUCUGCAGGAAACCCGGACGAUUGUGCUUGAUGACCACCAUGAGAGCCACGAUAGAUGUUUAGUAAUGGCACAAGAUCUAUCAACCAUGGAGAUUUAGUAUCUGUAAGACCACUCCCUUGGAUGAAGGAUACAAGAUCUCAGUGGGGUGUAGGCCUUGUAUUUGAAGGAUUUCCUCGAAGGAGUAAGAUUUUUGAAAACCGAUGACUCUUAUUCUAAGGGUGGUAGUACUCCACACUCUCGGAGGAAUAAUGGAUAUUCAGGGAGAACCCAACCCUAGUUUUUUCUUUCUAGUCUCUUCAAAUCUCGAGGACGAGAUUCAUUUUAAGGGUGGUAGAUUUGUAACAUCCCAAAUUUUUAAAAUUUGGAAUGUUAAUAGUAUCAUUAUUUUUAUCAUGAUUUCUAUGCUUAUUUAACUUUUCUAAAUAUUUAAAGUGUUUUCCAACUCAAGGCAAUAUAUUCGGAGUGAAGAUAAUAUGACUUCUCCCCUAUAAAUUAUAUUUAGAAAAUGUUAAUGAUAUUAUGUGGAGUUUACAGAAACUAUUUCAGGAAUUUUAGAAACUAAAAAUUAUUUUAUAGUUGUUAUAAUGCCCUUUAUAUGCUUGUAUUGAAUAAUAUAUAUAUUUGUUUAAAGUGCAUUUGUGUUUUGAAAUGUUGACGGUAUUUUAUAUUAGUAUUAGUAUUUUACUGUAUGUUCUGGUAUUUUUAGGAAGUAAUGUUCUAUUUUAGUUUUAGCCAAUAGUUAUGCUGCGUAGUAAAGUUUUUAGCCAGAUAUUACUGUUCACAUGGGCUUGGACAACAGCAGCCCAACUCGAUUCCCUUGCCCGUGUGCAAGGGAGCAGCACAGCGUCAGCAGGCCGGCCCAUUUCCCUGCACAGCUGCAGCCCACUCCGCAGCCUUUCCUAUUUGUUUUUUUCUUCUCUCUCUCUCUCCCGCUGACAGGGAAGGCCCACGAUUCAUCUCCUACCUUGCAUCGUGUUCAUCUGGGACACCGAAGCCGAUCCAGGGUCGAUCGAUUCGAUCGAUUCAUUGCCUCCACCCCACCGAAACUACUUAAGAGAUAUUCUACGCCGCCUUCUCGUUAGAUUUUUGGAAAUAUCCCCUACUUCCGUGCCCUGGAGCUCCUGGUUGGAUCUCGCCGGAGUUCCACUUUUUUUGAACUGGCCAGCCAUGGCUGGUGUUUCAUUGAUUCAGCGGGGAGCAGAUGACAAAAUGGGAAAGGCGGUGAUCCAGGGAUCAAGGAGUAAAGAAAAGCUACAAAAAAGAGAAAACAAAGGCGGAGGUGCCUGAGGCACCGAUAGCUAAAACCCUAAAAUCUCACGGCAGAUCCCCGAAGGGGCUCUGAAUGUGCUUGAAACCUCCCUGUUGCCAAAGACAGAAAUCUCUCCUUAUGGCCUUGAUGACAUCUUGUGCCGUCACCUCUUGUUUCCUGAAAACGCGGCUGUUGCGCUCCUGCCAAACUUUCCAGAGCACGAGCAUUAUUAGCGACUUGAUCCCUUUUGCAUGCGCUGGCUGCGUCGCUGCUACCAUGGCCUCCAUAAUUUCUAGUGAGAUGCUGUCGAUGUACUCGCACGCGAUGUUGAGCCCCUGGCAGUGCUGCCAGGAGGAUAAACUUGCCCAGAUUGUCUUUGCAAAGGGGCAGCUCCAGAACAGGUGCCCCGCCGUCUCCAGGUUUCUCAAACACAGCUGGCAAAACUAGCAGUUUGGCCAGCCCCUGCGUUGGAGACGAUCAUUGCACCAUAGCCGGUUUUGGUGGAGAAGCCACGCAAACAUCUUCAGCUUGGCCGGAGCCCAGGCUUUCCAGAUCAUGGCCUGAUAUGUUCCCGAUGUCGAACCCAAAAACUGGAUGGCAUAGGCCGAGUGGGAACUGUACUGGCCUGACCCCUCCGAGCUCCAGCGAAUUUGGUCCUGCUCUUCUACCUGAAGGUUGAGCUGCCGGCGCUGAAUGAGUCGAUGCAGGGAGAUAACCUUGCUGACAAGGGCGACGUUGUUGCCAUGCGCUAGGUCCAAAACCCAGCGGUCGCUGCUGAUGGCUUGCACCACAGUUCUGCCCUUGCGCCUGGAGUGCUUGAAGACAGACGGGAAGCAGAACUUCAGCGGUACCGGCCCUAGCCAUGAGCAGUGCCAGAAGCUCACUGUUCUGCCGUUGCCGACAGUAACAGCCGCCACUGCGUUGAAAAGAGCAUGAUCCGAGGCGUCGCAUGGUGGCUCUGUACUCACCCAAGGCCGAGUGGGGUUUUCCAACUGUGCCAUAGCCAUCUCAGCCGAAGCGCGCGGCUGAACUUUGUUAGAUUCAGGACACCGAGUCCGCCGUGCUCAACUGGGGAGCAGACCCGUUCCCAGCUAACCUUGCAGCUGCCGUCGAUUCCAGCGCCACCUGAGGGUACCUGAACCACCUUUCUGCGCCUUCUUCUUUGCCUUGAUCUCCUCUAUUACCUUGACCCCCUAUCUCGCACAGGACAACACCAAACUGAGCACUGUGACCCCGACCCGAAGAAGAUCGCCGCCGCCUUUGCUUCAACCGAGGAGAGAGACCACAGGAGGAGGCCUUUGUCGACACAGUGGAUACCUACGAGUUCUACGUGCCACUCCGCGUCUGAAGUGCACCUCCCCCAGGCCAUCUGACCUCCGUAGCCGCCGCCAUCAUCACCACCAAGCUGCCCCGCGCCAUUCUUUCCCAAUUCUGGUGGCUCCCAGAGUCUGUUUUCUGGUGAGUCGCCUUGCACCGUUCGAUCUCCCUCCGACGGUCUAGAUUAGAUCGCCUGUUUUUUUUUCCGAACCGUUAUCUGUUAAGUUGUGGCCGUCCGCUCUUUAGCCACCGCAGCGAACGGUUUCCAGCCAUUGUGAACGCGCCAUAUGGCACAUCCACAGCUGCCGUAGCAGUUCUUCCAGAAAUCUGUUUUGGCAUAAUUCUUUUUGGCAGAUUCCAUGUCAUAUUUUCAUUUAGGUAUAUCUUUUAGCCUAUAACUCCAAUUUAGAUGAUUCUUUUUCCUGUGUACUCGUAGUGACCAGGAGAAUACUGUAGAAUCAAAAUUCACAUUUUUGAAAUAUUCAAAUUUGAAUUUGUAUUCAAACUUCCGGAGGCCAUAUCUUUUAAACCGUUAAUCUAAAUUAAUUGAUUCUUUUUGCAUUGUUAUCCUACUAGCAUGUACUCCCCCCAUUCCCAAAUAUUUGUCUUUCUAGAGAUUUCAUCAAGUGACUACAUACGGAGGAAAACGAGUGAAUCUACACUCUAAAAUAUGUCUACAUGCAUCCGUCUGUUGUGUCCAUUUGAAAUGCCUAGAAAGACAAAUAUUUGGGAACGGAGGGAGUAGAUAAUAUAUACCUACUGAUAUGUUCUGUUAAUUAAGUUUUUAUUUGAAUUCCUUGUUGUUGACUUUAAUGUGGUGUUAUGUGAGUACGGUAUAUUUACCGGUGCCUUCUUAUCGUAUAGAUUAUCCGGAGUGUGAAGCGGAUCAGAAUUAAGUGUUAGAGUACUUCAACAUCCUUCAAGGCAAGUUGCACUUUUGUUAUGCUCAUCCUAUAUGUCCACUAUGCACUAUUAUGAUAUUUUAUAUGCUUGGUGUGAUUCUUAUAUUGCUUGUCACCAUGUGCGUGUCCUGUUUGCAUUGUUUAAUUGUAUGCUUGGAUUUGCUAUGGUAGACGUGGUUAUGUGUUGAGUGGUCCAUGAAAGUGGUGAGUGUUUAUAGCCGUAGGCUCGGGAUUAUUAACUAGGUGAAUGCAUCACUGGCAGAGCACUCUAUUAUCCCUAGAGAAUGCACCAUUGAUAGAGCGCACUUGAGGCGAGGUAUAGUUUUCGGAACAUAAAUCAGGUGGAUGCGUCGUUGGCAGAGCGCUCUAUUGUUCCUAUAGAAUGCGCCAUUGACAGAGCGCACUUGAGAGAUACUUUUGAAGUUCUUGUCAUGUUUAUUUUGAAUCUUUGGGUUAUCUUGGGCGACUAAAUUAGAGACGAUCGUGAGUUCAGGUAGUGGAGGUAGGUGAAGACUUUCUUCUCCAAAUUAACUUGAGUGUUUUGUCUGUCAUACUUUGCUUGUGGAUGUAGGUUUGCUAUAUUAUAUUGUGUGAUUUGCCAAUACAUUCAAUGUAUUGACCCUUGUGGCUGCAACUUAUCAUGUUGCGGGAUUUUCAGAUGAUCAGUGAGAUAUAGUAGGGUCAUGAGUCUUCACUCAACAUUUUCAUCAGUGGGCAUUGAUGGGACUCAUCAUUUGCUUAUGCUAUAUUUCCACUGUUAUUAUUGAGUAAAGCUAGUUAUGUACUAUGAGUUUGUAAUACUUUAUGAAUUCUGGAUCAUACAUUAUAGUAAAUGAUGCACUUGUUAUUUG